rnacentral:lncRNA from 1 species
GACCGACCCCAUUUCCAGUGCUCCAGAGCUACACGUGGCUGUGACAGUUCAGGUCAAUAGGACGGGGGGGUGGAUAAUAACAAGGCGGGGAUCAGAGUGGAGUAAAACGAGUGAGGCACCCGCCUUGGCAACAAGAUUUAAGGGAGCGCCAAAGACCCAGUAGUCAAGAUAAAUAUCUCGAUUAUCUUAUAAUCAAGAGAAGAUUUAUUUAUCAAGAGAAAUAAAUAUUAUUAAAAGAGAAGUAAAACAUGACUUAUCUUGCUUACUGAAGAUUGGGGCGGGGGCACUCCCGUCAAUCCCUCCCUCCCCCAAGGAGAGUGCCUCCCCGGCCUCCCCCUACUCCUGGCCCUAGAUACUGACAACAACAAUACCCACCUCACCGGCCCUCGGCCCUCGAGGGAAUUAACUGCGCUAAUACACGGAGAGCCCUCAGCCCAGGGGCUGGCAUCCGGAGGGCUCGGGCAGCACCUGCCAUCAGGCUUCCCGUGCUGCAGAGUGAAACGACCGACGGGGCUUCAGUCUUACACCCACGAUACCGCCUAGCUCUUCUGAGACCAGAUGAAAGCAACAUCAACUCCCCCGCUACACGGAACCUCUCUUAGGAGGGCGGACGGGAAAGGCUGAGCGGGCAGCCGGCGGUCUUCGCCACAGGGGGAACCUUUACCCCAACUUGGCCAGAGGCCUUAACGCAUCGACGGGCCUUGAUGCCCGCCCAGAGCAUCCCCGGCAGUCGCCUCUCCUCUCUGGUGUCCUGCCGCCCCUGGCCAGAUCUUCCCUUCUUCACCCCCGCAUCGGGCCAGCAGCCUCCUAACUUCUUCUCUGAUUCAGUCCCUCUUGCGCAUCUUUAAUUCAGCGAGCAAACCUUUGCGGAGCAUCUCCUACCCGCGGGGCGCCGGACCGGUGCUGGGAUACAGAGAGAAGCACUGAUGAGGGUCAUCGCACUCGAUGAUCUCCGAUUUCCGCGGCAGGGACAAAGGAUUGCCAGAAAGGGUGGUGAACGGUGCCCUCGAAAUGAAUUACCGGGUGGGAUGAAAUACGUAGGAAGGCCGCUACCGAGACUGGGGGCGGGGGCGGCAGGGCCCUUAAGGCAGGCUUUCUGCAAGAAGUGACAGCCAAGCAGGGUGCAGAGUAUCUGCCAGGUGAGGAAGAGCUGUAGGGAAACCAUGUCCCAGGCACGGGGAGCUCGAGGGACGCAGCCCAGGACACGGUUCCUCCCCAGAAGCACCCAGAGACGCAGGUGCCGGAGGCGGAGAGAAUCCAUGCGGCCGCCCCGCCCCCAGACACGCCUCCCCGCCCCUCCCCACCGCCGGCCCUGCGCCCCCCUCCGCCCUCCGCCCUCCGCCCUCCGCCCUCCGCCCUGCGCCCUGCGCCCUGCGCCCUCCGCCCGGCGCGCAGGCUGGCCCCGCCGCUCGGGGGGACGCCCCCAAGACCUUCGGCUCCCUGAAUCGGUGAGCCCCUCCUCCGCCGCCUCCCAAGCUCGUCUUUCCGCCCGCGGACACCCGAUGUAACACGAUACAGUCCGGGCGUUUCCGGUGAAGCCGUCUCGCGACCCCGUGUGCCUUCGGGAAACUGUCCGCCGCCAGCUGCCUUCCUCAGGCCCUCUUGCCGCCGCCCGGCCUUCGCGGCCGCGGUGCUGACUUUUCUCUCCGUUGGCACGAAAGAGAAGCCCAGCUCCCGCUGAGGGCGCGCGGAGGCGGCCCGGGAGGUACGGCGGACCCGCCGUAGCCACGCCUCCUCGGGCGGGAAAGGGCGGGGCAUGCAGAUUCAGAAUGGCGUUUCCGUCCCAGAACGACGGGGCAACAACAGGUAGGUAAGUUCUCUUUAAAAAUCCGGAGGAUUGAAAAUCUGCACCAGAGCCGACUGUGUGGUGAAUUCUCAGAGGAUUGUCGCAGAAGCAAAGGAAGUGAGACCUGGGCUGAGCGUCCGGCGACUCACCGUGAGUUGAAAGUGCGUGGUAGGAGGCCGGCGGCGGGGAGGCCUGGGCGGGGAGUAUCGCUUCUCGGCCUUUUGGCUAAGAUCAAGUGUAGUAUCUGUUCUUAUCAGUUUAAUAUCUGAUACGUCCUCUAUCCGAGGACAAUAUAUUAAAUGGAUUUUUGGAGCAGGGAGAUGGAAUAGGAGCUUGCUCCGUCCACUCCGCGCAUCGACCUGGUAUUGCAGUACCUCCAGGAACGGUGCACCCCCACGGGGGAAUAACAGGGUUUUAAAAGAAAGAUUGUGAGCGUUUCCGUUUUUCUAUUCUGCGAGAGACGUAAGCGUACGCCACGGCUGUGUUUUUGCUUUCUUGUUGUGCGUAUGGAACGACGGAAGAAAUUUGUUUUUAGAGACUUACCGAGGCUCGAGCUCUGUGUGUGUGUGUGUGGGUAGUCCCGCAGCUUAAUUGUGCACUUUGUUUUGUGCUGCUGUUCGGCGGUCUUCACGAACAGCGCCAUACUGAGCGAGGCUCAGUGCAGUGCUUUGUCGGCUCAGCGCAAAACCUAAGGGAUGUCACUUCCUCCUGCCUUAGACCUUGGUCUUCUCUGCCCUUUUCCUUCACCUCUCCCCGAAUGCUGAAAUCCUGCAUUUUCUGCAAGAAUUUCUUCUCUCUUCUGUCUCCAUGCUCUUCCUGUACUCGUUAAAAUGCUGCGGGCAGGGUUUUGACGGGGUUCAAGACAGGCUGCCCCAGGACGUGGCGCUCUGGUAUCCGAGCUGAAGACGGACAAAGGCUCGGAAGACUCAGGAAGAACAUUUGACCUUCCCCCCAAGCUGCUUAAAAGAAUUUAACGGAGAAGGCUGUUGAUGAACAUAAUCCGUAACCAAUCUGUAAAUGACAAUGUGGGUGACUGAGUGACAACAAGGAGAGGUCAGCACCGUUGAAGGAAGUGUCAUUACUUAUAGUUCCCAAGACAGGGGGGCGUGCCCGUGCCACCCCACACAGAGCCACAUGGGGAAGCGCCCGGGAGGCAGGAGAGGAGAAAGCAUGGCCUGUAUUGAGGAGGGCCGGGGAGGACAGGCCGAGGCAGGGGAGGCAAGUCUGAGCCAGCUUCCGACUGGAUGGCUGGGAUGUAGCCGGGUGGGCUCUGGGCUCUAGGGGUGGUCUCUCUGUCGGGUACCUGGCUCUGGGGGGACAGCGGGCAGGGGCAAGAUGGGCCAGAAGUGUGAGAGUAAAUAAAGGAGGGGGUGCGGGCACGGGCUCUGGACUGGUGCGUUUGCACAUGAGAGGCGGGCUCGCAGGCAAGUGGGUUACCGUCCCUGGGGGUCAGCUAGCCCCGGAGGGGCAGUCUCCUCCAGGCUGGCAGGCCCUCAAGAUGCCAAAGCAUCCUGAAAUAUAGAAAACUUAAAAACAUGAUGAAUGCAGUUGAUAAUAACCGUAUUU